UACACUCCUACGGGAGGCAGCAGUGGGGAAUUUUGGACAAUGGGCGAAAGCCUGAUCCAGCAAUGCCGCGUGCAGGAUGAAGGCCUUCGGGUUGUAAACUGCUUUUGUACGGAACGAAAAAGCUCCUUCUAAUACAGGGGGCCCAUGACGGUACCGUAAGAAUAAGCACCGGCUAACUACGUGCCAGCAGCCGCGGUAAUACGUAGGGUGCGAGCGUUAAUCGGAAUUACUGGGCGUAAAGCGUGCGCAGGCGGUUAUGUAAGACAGAUGUGAAAUCCCCGGGCUCAACCUGGGAACUGCAUUUGUGACUGCAUGGCUAGAGUACGGUAGAGGGGGAUGGAAUUCCGCGUGUAGCAGUGAAAUGCGUAGAUAUGCGGAGGAACACCGAUGGCGAAGGCAAUCCCCUGGACCUGUACUGACGCUCAUGCACGAAAGCGUGGGGAGCAAACAGGAUUAGAAACCCUAGUAGUCCC
rnacentral:rRNA from 1 species